GAACAGAAUGCGGAAACUGGUGUCCGAUUGUGUAGCUGCGAUAUUAAAAUUGAAACUGGAUUAUACAGUAGAGCUUUAUAACAUGUCUAGACGAUGAUGUUUACCUUCGGAUAAAUCAAAUAAUAAGGGAUUUAUGUUAUUCGUUGGUUGUGUUAAGCAGUUUAGGCGGCUAAAACAGCUAUAAUGGUGUACAUUUUGAAAUAUGAUGUUGAUAGAGAUCUAUACGCGUUUAGAAACCAUUGUGAAGGGAAGCGGUGGAUAAUGCAUAACAUAUAGGACCAAACGUUGUGAUCAAAACACGGUCAUGAUGGUCCGGGAUCCAGUAGCGGUUGAUAUCAGAUGAUGGAGACUGGAGCUGGAGAAGGAGUGAACCAUAACACUAUGAAACAUCAACAUUACAUCCAUACCAACAUUGCAUUCAUCCAGCAUCCAUAACACUAUGAAACAUCAACAGAUUCAUUUUAAUAUAUACAGUUGAAGUCAGAAUUAUUAGCCCUCUGUUUAUUUUUAUUUCCUCAAUUUCUGUUUAACAGAGAGAAGAUUUCUUCAACACAUUUCUAAACAUAAUAGUUUUAAUAACUCAUUUCUAAUAAUAAUAAAUAACAUAUAGUAAUAUCUAUAAUAAUAGGUCUAAUAAUAAUAAUUAGGUUAACUAGGCAGGUUAGGGUAAUUAGGCAAGUUAUUGUAUAACAAUGUUUUAUUCUGUAGACUAUCAAAAAAAUACAGCUUAAAAGGGCUAAUAAUAUUGACCUUAAAAUGGCUUUUAAAAAAUUAAAAACUGCUUUUAUUCUAGGUGAAAUAAAACAAAUAAGACUUUCUCCAGAAGAAAAAAUAUUAUCAGACAUACUGUGAAAAUUUCCUUGCUCUGUUAAACAUCAUUUGGGAAAUAUUUAAUCCAUCAUUAUGGGGGGCUAAUAAUUUUGACUUCAACUGUAUAACUCAGACAGAACAUGUAAUCACUCUUUUAUGAUGUGUGUUUAUUCCUGUUUAAAACAGUGCAUCAUUUACUAUGACUUUGAUUUAGAGUUUAAUAACAUGUUUGAUUUAAAUCAGAGAUGGCCAAACUAGGGCUCACGGGCCAAAGUUGGCCCAUGUUAACCUUUGAUUUGGCCCACCAUCUCAUUUGAGAAUAGAAGGCGAAUGAUGGGGAGGUGGUUGGGGCAAAAUUUUUUGACAAAGAUAAUUUAUUCAUUCAUUUUCAUGCUGGAUUAGCCUCUUUAUAAACCAGUGGUCACCACAGCGGAAUGAACCGCCAACUUAUCAGGCAUAUGUUUUACAAAGCGGAUUCCCUUCCAGCCGCAACCCAUCACUAGGAAACACCCAUACACACUCAUUCACACACAUACACUACAGCCAAUUUAGCUUACCCAGUUCACCUAUAGCAUGUCUUUGGACUGUGAGGGAAACCGGAGCACCCGGAGGAAACCCACGCGAACAUGGGGAGAACAUGCAAACUCCACACGAAAAUGCCAACUGACCCCGCCGAGGCUUGAACCAGUGACCCUCUUGCUGUGAGGCGAUUGUGCUACCCACUGCGCCACCGCGCUGCCUUUGACAGAGAUCGUCAUUUCAAAUUUAAUGUAACCUUUUGUUUGUUUGCUUUGUAAUUUCUUUUGUUUUGUAAAUGAAUAUUACUUUUAAAAAUGUAAGAUAGAAGGCAAAUACACAAGACAUCUGCGAGCAAAUCAAGGCAAAGGCAGGUGCAGCUUAGUGUAUUUAGCAUUGAAUUCCAUUGUGUUAUUAAAGGAAUAUGUUUUUAAUGUAGUAAGUUCAUCACGAUUUUUUUCUAAAUAUACUGCAUUGUUUAAUAUAAUUUAAAGCGAUGCAAUGCUUCGUAGCUAUUUUUAAAUAUUAGGAAACUAAUUAGGACAACUUUACCGUAAUAGUUCGACCCACAGCUCUCGAUCAAGUUUGGGUUCAGGCCCUUCAUAAGAAAAAGUUUGGGCACCCCUGAUUUAAAUCAUAUAGUUGAUUAGUAUAAAUACAGUCUAGAGGAUUUAAAAUAUGUAUUCAAUGAAGUGACACGAUGCCUUAGUGGUUAGCACUGUCACCUCACAGCAAUAAGAUCGCUGGUUCGAGUCCCGGCUGGGCCAGUUGGCAUUUCUAUGUGGAGUUAGCAUGUUCUCCUCAUGUUGGUGUGGGUUUCCUCCGGGUGCUCCGCUUACUCCCACAGCCCAAAGACAUACACUAUUGGUGAAUUGAAUAAACUGAAAUGGCCGUAGUGUAUGAGUGUGUGUGUUUCCAUGUAAUGGGUUGCAGCCGGAAGGGCAUCCGCUGUGUAAAACAUAUGCUGGAUAAGUUGUUGGUUCAUUCCUCUGUGGCGACCCCUGAUUAAUAAAGGGACUGACCCUAAAAGAGAACGAAUGAAUGAAUUAAAUUUUCUGUAGUGUAUGUGUGCGAAUGAGUGUGUAUGGGUGUUUCACAGUACUGGAUUGCAGCUGGAAGGGCAUCCACUGUGUAAAACAUAUGCUGGAUAAGUUAGCGGUUCAUUCCACUGUGGCGACCCCGGAUGAAUAAAGGGACUAAGCCAAAGUAAAAUGAAUGAAUGAAUGUGUAUACAGUUUGUUUAUACUGUAAUUUGUGCCGUUGUACCUUUAUUUUAUUGUAUUUAAUGUACUGUAAUCCUCAAUGUUGUGAUGUUAAGAGAAAAUAAAAUGAAAAAAGCGGACA